UACAGAGGGUGCGAACGUUGCUCGGAAUUAUUGGGCGUAAAGCGCGUGUAGGCGGCUUGUUAAGUUGGUUGUGAAAACCCAUGGCUCAACCAUGGAAGUGCGUCCAAAACUGGCAAGCUAGAGUUCUGACGAGGAUGGCGGAAUUCCCAGUGUAGAGGUGAAAUUCGUAGAUAUUGGGAGGAACACCGGUGGCGAAGGCGGCCAUCUGGGAAGAUACUGACGCUGAGACGCGAAAGCGUGGGGAGCAAACAGG
rnacentral:rRNA from 1 species